UACGAAGGGGGCUAGCGUUGCUCGGAAUCACUGGGCGUAAAGCGCACGUAGGCGGCUUUCUAAGUCAGGGGUGAAAUCCUGGAGCUCAACUCCAGAACUGCCUUUGAUACUGGGGACCUUGAGUUCGGGAGAGGUGAGUGGAACUGCGAGUGUAGAGGUGAAAUUCGUAGAUAUUCGCAAGAACACCAGUGGCGAAGGCGGCUCACUGGCCCGAUACUGACGCUGAGGUGCGAAAGCGUGGGGAGCAAACAGG
rnacentral:rRNA from 1 species